rnacentral:rRNA from 1 species
UACGGAGGGUGCAAGCGUUAUCCGGAUUUACUGGGCUUAAAGGGUGCGUAGGCGGGCAGGUAAGUCAGUGGUGAAAUCUCCGGGCUUAACCCGGAAACUGCCAUUGAUACUAUCUGUCUUGAAUACCGUAGAGGUGAGCGGAAUAUGUCAUGUAGCGGUGAAAUGCUUAGAUAUGGCAUAGAACACCAGUUGCGAAGGCAGCUCACUACGCGAAUAUUGACACUGAGGCACGAAAGCGUGGGGAUCAAACAGG